UACGUAGGGUGCGAGCGUUAAUCGGAAUUACUGGGCGUAAAGUGUGCGCAGGCGGCCGCGCAAGUCGAGUGUGAAAGCCCCGAGCUUAACUUGGGAAUUGCGCUCGAAACUACGUGGCUGGAGUGUGGCAGAGGAAGGUGGAAUUCCACGUGUAGCGGUGAAAUGCGUAGAGAUGUGGAGGAACACCAAUGGCGAAGGCAGCCUUCUGGGCCAACACUGACGCCCAUGCACGAAAGCGUGGGGAGCAAACAGG
rnacentral:rRNA from 1 species